rnacentral:rRNA from 1 species
GAUGAACGCUAGCUACAGGCUUAACACAUGCAAGUCGAGGGGAAACGACAUCGAAAGCUUGCUUUUGAUGGGCGUCGACCGGCGCACGGGGGAGUAACGCGUAUCCAACCUGCCCACCACUUGGGGAUAACCUUGCGAAAGUAAGACUAAUACCCAAUGAUAUCUCUAGAAGACAUCUGAAAGAGAUUAAAGAUUUAUCGGGAAUGGAUGGGGAUGCGUCUGAUUAGCUUGUUGGCGGGGUAACGGCCCACCAAGGCUACGAUCAGUAGGGGGUCUGAGAGGAAGGUCCCCCACAUUGGAACUGAGACACGGUCCAAACUCCUACGGGAGGCAGCAGUGAGGAAUAUUGGUCAAUGGACGAGAGUCUGAACCAGCCAAGUAGCGUGCAGGAUGACGGCCCUAUGGGUUGUAAACUGCUUUUAUAAGGGAAUAAAGUGAGUCUCGUGAGACUUUUUGCAUGUACCUUAUGAAUAAGGACCGGCUAAUUCCGUGCCAGCCGCCGCAGUAA